AGUGUGUUAUUAGCUCAGUGGGCCCUUUGACUCAUCACGUGGGACAGCUGCCUUCUGCCAGCAAGGGCAAAGGGCCAGUGUGAUAGCCUCUUUGGGUAUCUGCACUUGGUGUGUCCUGAAUUCUUGUUUAAUGCCCAAGAAAUGAGGUCACGUGGUGAAAUUGAAGGAUAGUGAAUGUGGAGAAUUUUAUUAAGCAAUGAAAGCAGCUCCCAGGGAAGAGGAAAGCUAGAAAGGGGAUAGGGAGGGAAGGUCACUCUCUCUCUGCCUCUCUCUUCUGAAGUCAAGUUGCCUCUUUCUGACAUCCAUCUACUUUUCCUCUCCACUAGCUGAGUUGGCAGGAUGAGCUGGGAAUCUUUAUAGGCACAGGAUAGGGGGCAGAGUAGGCCACAGGUAAACUUGGAAAAGGGAACAUUCGAUUGGUAAAAAGACAUUAUUCAGAAAAGGACCAAUUGGAAGAGAGUGGGCACACAGGGAUGGAAGUUAUCACUUUGGACCACAGGUUUCAGGCUUUUCAACUCAAAGGAGAAGAGGGAAGGAGUGGUGAAGGUGGAUGGUACAAAACGACCAACUUUAAAGGAGAUGGAUUUUCUACUACCUUUGAAAACUAGGAGCCUACAGAUGACCCUCAGGAAUAACGGUCUCAGUUGGUAUCUAAAGACAGCUUUCCAGACGUAAUAAAAAGAAGCUGAAGCUGUCAUUUGAAGACAUAUUGUGAGAUGGUUUUUCUACUACCUUUGAAAACUAGGAGCCUACGGAAGACCCUUAGGAAUAAAGGUCUCAGUUGGUAUCUAAAGACAGAUUUCCAGAUGUAAUAAAAAGAAGCUGAAGCUGUCAUUUGAAGACAUAUUGUGGUGAAGAAAAGCAAGUAGGAAAUAAUAGACUGAUCUUUGACUCUGGAGUGAACAGAGUAGCUACAGAGUUUUUUUUUUGAGGCAUGGUUGUAGUAGUUCAGAUAAGAAUGGAACUAAGUGUGGUUUACAUCACUGCCUUAAUUUGUUUUCUCCUUUGAAAUCCAGCUUUUGUCUUCAUUCACAUCAAUAAAACUGUUCUGGAAAAAAAUAUUCCUUUUUAUUUCUGCGCCUUAGAUGUAUUACAUCAUUUGACCUAUCUUUAUAGCCCAG
rnacentral:lncRNA from 1 species